rnacentral:tRNA from 1 species
GGGGAUGUAGCUCAAAUUGCAGAGCGCUCGCUUUGCAUGCGAGAGGCAAGGGGUUCGAUGCCCCGCAUCUCCA